GCAGGUGGUCAUGGAAGAGGUACCUCGGGGUGUUCAUCUGGGCAGAAGGAAAACCCUAAGACAGGAAUGCAUAUUUGGUCUAGAAAAAUGAACCAAAGUAAACCCCAGGCCAGUAACAGAUGACAGUGCCAACUGAGGAAGGGAUGCAUAAUUUGAGGAACUCCUUUUCCAGCAGCAGGGAUUGGAUCAAUCCAUAGUCUUAGAGCAUCAAGCUAAUGACAAGUAAGGUUGGAUCUGUGUGGGCCUUGGCCUUCUACAAUCCACUGGAUCAACAAAGGAGGCAAAUGGAAACUCCUGCUGCCCAUGGAAAUGCAAUUCAAAAUAUUCAUCCUUGCUGUGAAGGCAUUGUGGUCCACAGUCUCCCCAUCACCCAUUGCAACUCUAACUACAUGAAUUUAAAGGCUACAUAGGCAUUACAGGAGCGUGGCUUUCCAAGAGACUCCAGGAAGCUACAGAUUGGCCAGUCCACUCUGCAGCCACAAGCAGGGCGAAGAGGGGCUGAGAAGCCCUGGAGUCCUGCUGAAGGAACUGAGCAGUAGUCACAAGAAAGUACAGAGUGAACUCCAGAGCCCAUGGGAUGAGCAAGGAUGAAAGGUCCCACUGACCAGGUGGGAUGAGGUCUAUUUUGGUUCAUAAAGUCGCUUUUUCGUUUAGAGGAACAAGGCCAACACAGUCGCACAGCAGACCAAUGCCAAAAUCACAGGUCUCUCCCUGCCCCAGGAGCUACAUUGCCACUCAGAGGAGAAAAAGGAAGACAAAGGGGAAAACAAACCCAAUCUGGAAUACCAUUGAAUUGGACUGAACUCUCUAGGAAGUGACUACAGGUUUUGUUUGUUUUUUGUUUUGUUUUUUCUUUGCAUCAAUCAGAUUGUGGACUUUAUGGUCUCAAAUUGAAUUCCAUAAUAAAAAAUACAGUUUCU